AUUUCAAACCCUUAUUCACAAUGUAAGAAUAUGUUUUACAACCAUACACAAAUCUCUAUAAGCGGUGUCUGAUUCUAAAUGUUUUUCUACAAUUAUGUUCAUACAGAACAAACAUGACUGGAUAAAAAAGAUCCUGGCAACAAGUCAAGAUAAAAUAUAAAAACAUUUUCCAGGCUGGGGGAAGGAACUUCUGCAGUAUGGGAAGGGGCUUCUGCAGCUGAUGAUGAGGAGACUGUGUCACUGUACUCCAGAAGGCCUGAGGUAUCAUGUAAAUCGUAUGAAAAUGCAUAUUUAGCCCGUAAUGGAUGAGAAGUCAUUUCUGAUCAGUUUAUUCUUUGCUCCAGAAGGGCAAUUUGUAUGCAGCAAGAAGGCAUCACAUGAGAAUAUACAACUCAAACAACACAACAAUUUAUACAAUAAAAGUCAGUUAUAUAGCACUCAUUAUAUUUGUAACAGGAUCCAGACGCAGUAGGCUACAGCCUGACAGCCAGCCUGGCAACAUAGUAAGUAUGGGCUAAAGGAAAUCUAAAUCAUGCACAAUUCCUGCUGUGCUAAUCAAUGGGUGGUUUAUAGAAUUCACAAACUGUCAGAUGUCUCUACUCAACAUCUGAAAAAGCUAAUUGAGCUGGCAGAUGCACAGAUUGCUGUCAGUAAAAGUUUCCAGGAUCUAGACCUUGGUAUUGAAAUCAAGAAGAAAACACUGAGGAAACUGUAUCUGGAGAUAAAGAAACUAGAAAAAUACGUGACUUCAAUCCACACUUAAGCAUAUCUGUAAAACAAUGUAUUAACCUCUCAUGUCUGAAAGCACGUCUCAAUAUCAAUGCUUCUUCAUCCAAAGAAUUCUUCAUCCUUAGUUCAGAAAUGGGCAUGCCAUGGUGCAGUAAGCAACACAGGUGAAUGGGACUUUAUACACUGCUCAAAAAAAUAAA